rnacentral:rRNA from 1 species
GACGAACGCUGGCGGCGCGCUUAACACAUGCAAGUCGAACGGAAAGGCCUGCUUUCCCUCGUGGAUUGCGGGUACUCGAGUGGCGAACGGGUGAGUAACACGUGAGUGAUCUGCCCCCAACUUGGGUAUAAGCCUGGGAAACUGGGUCUAAUUCCCGAUAGGACUGCAGGGUGGUGCCUGUGGUGGAAAACGAUUUUCUAGUGGUUGGGGAUGAGCUCGCGGCCUAUCAGCUUGUUGGUGGGGUAAUGGCUUACCAAGGCGGCGACGGGUAGCCGGCCUGAGAGGGUGGACGGCCACAUUGGGACUGAGAUACGGCCCAGACUCCUACGGGAGGCAGCAGUGGGGAAUAUUGCACAAUGGGCGGAAGCCUGAUGCAGCGACGCCGCGUGGGGGAUGACGGCCUUCGGGUUGUAAACUCCUUUCGACCGCGAGGAAGCCACCUGGUUGGAAGGGUGGUGACGGUAGUGGUAGAAGAAGCACCGGCUAACUACGUG